ensembl:snoRNA small nucleolar RNA SNORA17
ACCGCCCAUAGUGGCACUGCUGGUGUGGCCGAUGUGCCAGCAGGUGGCAGGGAGAAGGGGCCCUGUGUGCCUCAGUGUCCUGCUCUGUGAACAUCUGAAUGACCAAUAGCUUGACACU